CAGCCGUAAACAAUGUGCGUUAGGUGUGUCGGUAACCACGCGUUACUGAUGCGCCGAAGAGAAAUCGUGAAACGCACCACCUGGGAAGUACGGUCGCAAGGCUGAAACUUAAAGGAAUUGGCGGGGGAGCACCACAACAGGUGGAGCCUGCGGUUUAAUUGGACUCAACGCCGGAAAUCUCACCGGAUAGGACAGACAUAUGAUAGUCGGGCUGAAGACUCUACUUGAUGAUCUGAGAGGUGGUGCAUGGCGUCAGUGACU
rnacentral:rRNA from 1 species